GCGCAACCCUUAAGCUUAGUUGCCAUCAUUAAGUUGGGCACUCUAAGUUGACUGCCGGUGACAAACCGGAGGAAGGUGGGGAUGACGUCAAAUCAUCAUGCCCCUUAUGAUUUGGGCUACACACGUGCUACAAUGGACAAUACAAAGGGUAGCGAAACCGCGAGGUCAAGCAAAUCCCAUAAAGUUGUUCUCAGUUCGGAUUGUAGUCUGCAACUCGACUACAUGAAGCUGGAAUCGCUAGUAAUCGUAGAUCAGCAUGCUACGGUGAAUACGUUCCCGGGUCUUGUACACACCGCCCGUCACACCACGAGAGUUUGUAACACCCGAAGCCGGUGGAGUAACCUUUUAGGAGCUAGCCGUCGAAGGUGGGACAAAUGAUUGGGGUGAAGUCGUAACAAGGUAGCCGUAUCGGAAGGUGCGGCUGGAUCACCUCCUUUCUAAGGA
rnacentral:rRNA from 1 species